rnacentral:rRNA from 1 species
AGCGAACGCUGGCGGCAGGCCUAACACAUGCAAGUCGAACGGAUCCUUCGGGAUUAGUGGCGGACGGGUGAGUAACCCGUGGGAACGUGCCCUUUGGUUCGGAACAACUCAGGGAAAGUUGUGCUAAUACCGGAUGUGCUCUUCGGGGGAAAGAUUUAUCGCCAUUGGAGCGGCCCGCGUCUGAUUAGCUAGUUGGUGAGGUAACGGCCCACCAAGGCGACGAUCAGUAGCUGGUCUGAGAGGAUGAUCAGCCACACUGGGACUGAGACACGGCCCAGACUCCUACGGGAGGCAGCAGUGGGGAAUCUUGCGCAAUGGGCGAAAGCCUGACGCAGCCAUGCCGCGUGAAUGAUGAAGGUCUUAGGAUUGUAAAAUUCUUUCAGCGGGGACGAUAAUGACGGUACCCGCAGAAGAAGCUCCGGCUAACUUCGUG